rnacentral:rRNA from 1 species
CGUAGGAGACGAGCGUUAUCCGGAUUUACUGGGCGUAAAGCGUGUGCAGGCGGUUCGGCAAGUUGGAUGUGAAAUCUCCCGGCUCAACUGGGAGGGGUCGUUCAAAACUACCGAACUUGAGGUCAUCAGAGGAAGGUGGAAUUCCGGGUGUAGUGGUGAAAUGCGUAGAUAUCCGGAGGAACACCAGUGGCGAAGGCGGCCUUCUGGGAUGAUCCUGACGCUCAGACACGAAAGCUAGGGGGAGCGAACGGGAUUAGAGACCCCGGUAGUCCUAGCUGUAAACGAUGUAGACUUGGCGUCGGAGGGUUCAAAACCUUCGGUGUCGUAGCUAACGCGAUAAGUCUACCGCCUGGGGACUACGGCCGCAAGGGUUA